UACGUAGGGUGCAAGCGUUGUCCGGAAUUAUUGGGCGUAAAGAGCUCGUAGGCGGUCUGUCGCGUCGGUCGUGAAAACUCACAACUCAAUUGUGGGCGUGCGGGCGAUACGGGCAGACUGGAGUACUGCAGGGGAGACUGGAAUUUCUGGUGUAGCGGUGGAAUGCGCAGAUAUCAGGAGGAACACCGGUGGCGAAGGCGGGUCUCUGGGCAGUAACUGACGCUGAGGAGCGAAAGCGUGGGGAGCGAACAGG
rnacentral:rRNA from 1 species